GAGGAUAUAGCUCAGUGGUAGAGCACAUGUCUAGCACGCAUGAGGUCCUGGGUUCAAUCCCCAGUACCUCCA
rnacentral:tRNA from 1 species